AGGAUAAUAAUUUCAAUUAAAAUAAUUAAUUUGCAUUUAAUAAAUAUUGACUUUAUAUCAAUUUAUCUUU
rnacentral:tRNA from 1 species